GCUGAGGGCAGCUUCCAUCAAACACAAAUGCUUCCUGUUUUUCAAACGGGAGAGGACUUUGUAUAACAGUAAACCUGUCUGGUCGGUAGGGAGACCCCAGGCCCACAGCUGAGUCAGCAUGGCUCCCCAGACUGCUCAAUAAGGUCAAAGUAAGAGAAUAAAGAAAAACUUGGUUUAUGCAGCCCAACCACAGGUCACCACAAAGCUCAUUAUACCAAUCAGGGCGUUUGAAGUGCAGUCACCUUGGUAAUACGUUCUACUCAGCAAAAUUCCACAACCAACGAUGGAAUUAAUGUUCAGAUCACCUGGUCAAACACUUACAUUAGAUUAUCUUUAUUUGUCACAUGCAAGUCAAAACAGAAUCAAUGAAAAACUACACACAAGGACUGACAAACAACCAACGUGCAAAAGAAGACAAAUUGUGCAAGUAAAAUAAAAAAAUAAGUAAUACUGAAGACACGAGUUGUAAAGCCCGUGAAAGUGAUUCCAUGGGCUGUGGAAUCAGAUCGGAAUUGAGGCCCAUCUCAAUGCCAAUGAAGGAAUAGUGUGGCUGCUCUAUUUAGAUCGUACCGAGUACAAGGCAGUGAGCUGUUUUGUGCAUGGAGACAGAGCCGAACCUUAAGACUCAACCAGCAGGUGUACUUCCAGCAGAGUAGCACUUCCUCAGUACAGUCCUGGAGCGACAACCCAGUCUGCUGUAAUGAAACCUCUGGUGCCACAAGAAGCCGCAACCUUCUGAUUUAAGAGGCAAGGCUGAGUGGUCAGGAAGAAGAAAAGCUAUCUUUCUCGAUUAGUUCCAACAAAAAGCCUUCAGCCCGAAACGUAACAUGAUUAUGCUUCUGCCGAUGCUGCCUGACCUGCUGUGACUUUCCAAUAUUUUUUUAUUUCCAUUAUGGAUGCCCCUCCCACCCCUUCCCUCCCCCCCCACUACCUUCUCUUCUUCUGCACAACCAAGUUGGUGUCAUGGCCAUGAAAGCUCAGCAAUGCCUCUACUUCCUCAGGAGGCUAAAGAAAUUUGCCACGUCCCCGUUAACUCUUACCAAUUUUUAUUA